rnacentral:rRNA from 1 species
UUGGAAGUAAAAAUCGUAACAAGGUCUCCGUUGGUGAACCAGCGGAGGGAUCAUUACCGAGUUUUCAACUCCCUAACCCUUCUGUGAACCUACCUAUCGUUGCUUCGGCGGACUCGCCCCAGCCCGGACGCGGACUGGACCAGCGGCCCGCCGGGGACCUCAAACUCUUGUAUUCCAGCAUCUUCUGAAUACGCCGCAAGGCAAAACAAAUGAAUCAAAACUUUCAACAACGGAUCUCUUGGCUCUGGCAUCGAUGAAGAACGCAGCGAAACGCGAUAAGUAAUGUGAAUUGCAGAAUCCAGUGAAUCAUCGAAUCUUUGAACGCACAUUGCGCCCGCCAGCAUUCUGGCGGGCAUGCCUGUUCGAGCGUCAUUUCAACCCUCGACCUCCCCUUGGGGGGGUCGGCGUUGGGGACCGGCAGCACACCGCCGGCCCUGAAAUGGAGUGGCGGCCCGUCCGCGGCGACCUCUGCGCAGUAAUACAGCUCGCACCGGAACCCCGACGCGGCCACGCCGUAAAACACCCAACUUCUGAACGUUGACCUCGAAUCAGGUAGGACUACCCGCUGAACUUAAGCAUAUCAAUAGGCGGAAGGAA